GAUUAACGCUGGCGGCGUGCAUAACACAUGCAAGUCGAACGAAGUGGCGGACGGGUGAGUAGCGCGUGAGUAACCUGCCUUAGAGAAGGGGGUAGCCUUUGGAAACGAAGAAUAAUACCCUCUGCUCUAAGAUGGACUUGCGUCUGAUUAGUUAGUUGGUGGGGUAACGGCCUACCAAGACAGGGAACAGUAGCCGGCUUGAGAGAGGGUACGGCCACAUGGGGACUGAGAAAAGGCCCAGACUCUACGGGAGGCAGCAGUGGGGAAUUGUGCACAAUGGGGGAAACCCUGAGGCAGCGACGCCGCGUGAUUUAGAAGUCCUUCGUGUUGUAAAAAUCUUUUCUAUGGGAAGCAGUACCAUAGGAAUAAGGACCGGCUAAUUACGUGCCAGCAGCCGCGGUAAUUC
rnacentral:rRNA from 1 species